rnacentral:lncRNA from 1 species
UUUUGAUAAAAGUCCAACAUACUCUUUUUGUUGGAAUUUCUUUUUUAGUACAGCAUAAUUUUUUUGUUGGAUUAAGUUAAGUCUAAAACUUCAAAUUUUGUUUACGUCAUUCGGAGAUGACAUCAUUUAACAAUAUUGGAAUGGGAACUCUUCUAAUUGGGUUAAGUCUAAAACUUCAAAUUUUGUUUAUGUCAUUCCGAUAUAACGUCACAUAAGAGACAAUCUUGAGGCAAAACAAUAUAACACUAGUCCUCCAUCCUCCUCCCUAGCGAAUGAAAAAAAAAAAAAAGAAGAAGGCAAAAACCUAAUCUUGGAAUUAAUCCCACAAAAACCAAAACAUCAAACCAAGAAGACAAAGUUAUUAAUAAAAUUAAGACUUUUUCGUUGCCAAAGUCCCUGAAUUUAGACCUAAAU